rnacentral:lncRNA from 1 species
AAGUCACAGGGGACAAGGCAGAAUGAGGUUCAGUGGGGUGUGCCAGGUGUGUGCUGAUCAGCACCAGUGACAGCAUGAAACUGAUGUUCCAGGGACUAAGAAGAAGCAGUUGAGAUCACUGGAUCCCAGGUAGCUUCCAGCCAGCAGAGACAUUCUGUCUUCCCUACACUCCGGGGCAGGUCUUGGCAGCGCCCUGCCUGACUUCAGCCUGUCCCUUCUCAAGCCUGGGAAAGCCCGGGAGACCGCGUCGCACUCACCCGGUGGCUGCCUCUGUCCAUGGUGUAAGAGAAUGCUUCUUCCAGGCUCAGCUGAUGUCCAGGAGGCAAAAGAAACAGAGAAAGAGACACGUGUCCUAAACCAAAGUCGCUGUGCUCAGAAGUGUGGAAGCAGAAGAGUUAGGUGGACUUGGGAAUGCUCCCUUUAUGAUAAAGCCCCAGGGUGGCUGGAACUUCACUGAGAUCCAUGGAUUCCGAGAUCGGGUCUGUGUUCCCCCAUGCAUGAAUCUGUACCCAAAUAAAACUCUCUUUGCUUUUA